rnacentral:SRP_RNA from 10 species
GCCGGGUGUGGUGGCGUGUGCCUGUAGUCCCAGCUACUUGGGAGGCUGAGGCAGGAGAAUCGCUUGAACCCGGGAGGCGGGGUUGCAGUGAACUGAGAUUGUGCCACCGCACUCCAGCUUGGGUAAGAGAGCACGAUUCUGUCUCAAAAAACAAAGGUUUGUUUUUUUUGUUUGUUUUGAGAUGGAGUCUCACUCUGUCACCCAGGCUGGAGUGUAGUGGUACAAUCUUAGCUCACUGUAACCUCUGCCUCCCGGGUUCAAGCGAUUCUCCUGCCU